rnacentral:rRNA from 1 species
AUUGAACGCUAGCGGGAUGCUUUACACAUGCAAGUCGAACGGCAGCGCGGACUUCGGUCUGGCGGCGAGUGGCGAACGGGUGAGUAAUGUAUCGGAACGUGCCCAGUAGAGGGGGAUAACUACGCGAAAGCGUAGCUAAUACCGCAUACGCCCUACGGGGGAAAGCAGGGGAUCGUAAGCCCUUGCACUAUUGGAGCGGCCGAUAUCGGAUUAGCUAGUUGGUGAGGUAACGGCUCACCAAGGCGACGAUCCGUAGCUGGUUUGAGAGGACGACCAGCCACACUGGGACUGAGACACGGCCCAGACUCCUACGGGAGGCAGCAGUGGGGAAUUUUGGACAAUGGGGGCAACCCUGAUCCAGCCAUCCCGCGUGUGCGAUGAAGGCCUUCGGGUUGUAAAGCACUUUUGGCAGGGAAGAAACGUCGCUGGCUAAUACCCCGUGGAACUGACGGUACCUGAAGAAUAAGCACCGGCUAACUACGUG